UCAUGUAUUACCAAUGAACACGAAGUCCAGAACAGUGGCAUUCACCGUGGAUCCGUACCCCUCCAGUACACCAUGAUGGCAAGCUUUCAUUCAGCUCUGCUGCCAUGCCAAAAUCUUGUCCUUCCAGGUUUUACAAGUUUUGGAAAAGACUAAUUUAUAGUUCACGGAGCUAUGUACUUCACUGGGAUAUACUGAAAUGGAGACCUGGCCUGUUAAAUUUUCUACAAAAGGGUAGAGAGAAAAGAGAAUGGGGAGGAAGAGAACGGGUGAGGAGAGAAAAUCAGAAGAGGAGAAAGAGGAAAGAGCAUAAUUUUCCCAAAGAAAGAGAAGAACUUACGCAUAGCCACAGGAACUCAUCUAUUUUCAAGGCAAACCUGUGUCCCUGCAGCUGCCAUUACCUUUACCAUCUCAUCAAAUCAGACACUGGGC